UACGAAGGGGGCUAGCGUUGUUCGGAAUCACUGGGCGUAAAGGCGCACGAGGCGGAUUCUUAAGUCAGAGGUGAAAUCCCGAAGGCUCAACCUUGGGACUGCCUUUGAUACUGGGGAUCUUGAGUCCGGGAGAGGUGAGUGGAACUGCGAGUGUAGAGGUGAAAUUCGUAGAUAUUCGCAAGAACACCAGUGGCGAAGGCGGCUCACUGGCCCGGUACUGACGCUGAGGAGCGAAAGCGUGGGGAGCAAACAGG
rnacentral:rRNA from 1 species